rnacentral:rRNA from 1 species
UUGUUCCUACGGGGGGCAGCGGUAGGGAAUCUUCGGCAAUGGACGAAAGUCUGACCGAGCAACGCCGCGUGAGUGAAGAAGGUUUUCGGAUCGUAAAACUCUGUUGGUAGAGAAGAACGUUGGUGAGAGUGGAAAGCUCAUCAAGUGACGGUAACUACCCAGAAAGGGACGGCUAACUACGUGCCAGCAGCCGCGAUAAUACGUAGGUCCCGAGCGUUGUCCGGAUUUACUGGGUGUAAAGGUCGU